UGCCAGCAGCCGCGGUAAUACGAGGGGUGCAAGUGUUGUUCGGAAUCACUGGGCGUAAAGGGGGCGUAGGCGGAAAGCCAAGUCAGAUGUUUAAUUCCGGGGCCCAACCCCGGCUUAGCAUUUGAAACUGGUUUUCUUGAGUAGGUUAGGGGUAGAUGGAAUUCCUGGUGUAGCGGUGGAAUGCGUAGAUAUCAGGAAGAACACCAAUGGCGAAGGCAGUCUACUGGAACCAUACUGACGCUGAGGCCCGAAAGCGUGGGGAGCGAACAGGAUUAGAUA
rnacentral:rRNA from 1 species